rnacentral:rRNA from 1 species
UGGUGGAGUGAUUUGUCUGGUUAAUUCCGAUAACGAACGAGACUCUGUCCUGCUAACUAGGUUGUGUUUUCUCGGGUUGGUGUUUCUGGUGUUCCUUCUCGGGGCGCCGGCCCAAUCCACUUGUGAACACAACACUCUUCUUAGAGGGACUGGCGGCUGUCAGCCGCACGAGAUAGAGCAAUAACA